CAGUGCUUGGUUCCUAGUAGGUGUCCAGUAAGUGUUUGAGACAUAAUUUGUUUAUUGAGGACCUCCUAUCAAUCAAGCACUGUGCUAGGCUCUGG
ensembl:miRNA